rnacentral:rRNA from 1 species
AGCGAACGCUGGCGGCAGGCCUAACACAUGCAAGUCGAACGGAUCCUUCGGGAUUAGUGGCGGACGGGUGAGUAACACGUGGGAACGUGCCCUUGGGUUCGGAACAACUCAGGGAAACUUGAGCUAAUACCGGAUGUGCCCUUCGGGGGAAAGAUUUAUCGCCAUUGGAGCGGCCCGCGUCUGAUUAGCUGGUUGGUGAGGUAACGGCCCACCAAGGCGACGAUCAGUAGCUGGUCUGAGAGGAUGAUCAGCCACACUGGGACUGAGACACGGCCCAGACUCCUACGGAAGGCAGCAGUGGGGAAUCUUGCGCAAUGGGCGAAGGCCUGACGCAGCCGUGCCGCGUGAAUGAUGAAGGUCUUAGGAUUGUAAAUUUCUUUCAGCGGGGACGAUAAUGACGGUACCCGCAGAAGAAGCUCCGGCUAACUUCGUG